rnacentral:rRNA from 1 species
ACGAACGCUGGCGGCGUGCUUAACACCUGCAAGUCGAACGGAAAGGCCCUGCUUUUGUGGGGUGCUCGAGUGGCGAACGGGUGAGUAACACGUGAGUAACCUGCCCUUGACUUUGGGAUAACUUCAGGAAACUGGGGCUAAUACCGGAUAGGAGCUCCUGCUGCAUGGUGGGGGUUGGAAAGUUUCGGCGGUUGGGGAUGGACUCGCGGCUUAUCAGCUUGUUGGUGGGGUAGUGGCUUACCAAGGCUUUGACGGGUAGCCGGCCUGAGAGGGUGACCGGCCACAUUGGGACUGAGAUACGGCCCAGACUCCUACGGGAGGCAGCAGUGGGGAAUAGUGCACAAUGGGCGGAAGCCGGAUGCAGCAACGCCGCGUGCGGGAUGACGGCCUUCGGGUUGUAAACCGAUUUCGCCUGUGACGAAGCGUGAGUGACGGGAAUGGGUAAAGAAGCACCGGCUAACUACGU